rnacentral:lncRNA from 1 species
UAAUUUUGCCUUGAUAAAUCAUGACGCAUUUGACAUUAUUUUCUAGCGUCUUUAUCAAUGGCUAAACACAUCCAAUAAAGGAAAACCUAACUUGGCUACUCACUCACUAAUUUGUCAUCUAAGGUUUUGCAGCAGUAAUCAAGAAAGAUGCAUGAAUUGGACACUAAUGGCCAAGAACAAUGCAACUUGCAGCAGUUCCUUCCGCAAAUGGAUAUCUAAG